UUAUUGUUUAUUAAUGCUUACAAAAAGAAAAACACUUACAUAGGUCAUUAUAUUUCGUCCUCGUUUCGUAAAUAAGAUAACAACGUAGUCUCUCUAUUCAUACCAAACACCACAAUUUUUAAAGUAAACAAUCUGCCCGCUCCGGUCCUAUGCAUUUCUAGGAUGGUCCCCAUGCCCAUUGAAUUCAUUCUUUGUUUUCGUGCCGUACAUUGCGUAUCGUUACAAGUGAGUUCAAAUUUGUAUUUUCCAUUUUUUUCACAAUUAGUUUCUUUUUAAUGUGUAACUAUAGUUGGCGUAAGUCAUAUUAAGGACUCAAAAGAUACGUUAUCCUAGUGUAGACCCUGAUAUCCGCUAUACCGGACUGCAUAUUUUGAAACACAGGACGUCAGGGGCAUACGGUUGAAACAAGUGCUUUAUCAUUGGUCAGGUGAUUUAUGGGCGUUGCGUUCGUUUUAAAUAUUCUAGAAGAAGAAGACAUAAUCUAACCUCAAAUUCAAUGAUUGUUGAUUUUGGCGUUUGAUGAAGUUUGAUCGUUAUUCGUUUGAUUAUUUGAUUAUUAUUGCUAGUCGUUUGAUCGUUUCGUUGUUGUUGGGUUGUCUUUGAGAGGGAUAUCUUAAAAUUUAGUGAGGAAAAUGGCUAUGAAUGUCGUGUACAAGCUGAAAAUGAAAAAAAGAAGGAAAUAAUUAUGCGUAUUAACUUAACCACUCCACAAGAUGCUGAUAAAUAUCUAUCAGCAUACAAAUUGUAUUCAGGGACAAACUGGAUUCGAAAUGGGGAGUUAAAAGAUCCGCAAAGAGUUGUGUAUCAUAAAUAUUAUGUGUGCCAAUAUAGUUCAAUAAAUAAGAAAAGAAGUUGUACCAAGAGUGAAAUGAAUACAGGAUGUGUUGCAACAAUAGAUGUUAAAAUUUAAAAAAUUACAACUAAAACAAAAAGAAAUGAUGAAUACCUAAAGUUAGAUAUUCCUUUAUGUGGUAUUAUAAAUUUUAAUUUAAAUCAUAACCAUAAUCUUGGCACAAGUGGUAGUUUGAAAUUUAUGAAGCUUUCUGAAGAGGUAGGCAGCAAAGUUUAAUAUAAUUAUGUAUAACCCAUAAAUAGUUGUUUUUCUUUUCGUUAUUCAAGCUGGUUCUUUUAAACUUUAGACUAAAAAGAUGUUUGAAGGAUAUUUUGAGAAUGGAAUGAGCCCUGCCGAAAGUUUGUUAUUAUUGGAAAAAAAUGGCAGAUGUCUCUCUAAAUCCUACUAAAAAUGCACUUUAUUACCUUCAUAAAAAAUGGACUUUAAGGCAUCUUGGACAGGUAUUUGAGCCAAUACCAAAACUUCAAGAAAAAAAAAGUUUUUUCAUUAAUCAGGAAUAAAUAUUGAAAUUGCAACAGACCCGUGGGCAGUAUUGGUAGUUACGCCAAUCAUGAAAAGAGCACAGGAACUGCAGUCCUCCAAGGAACUGAUAUUUUGCGACAGUACAUCAAGUUGAGACACCAGUGAGACCACAGUUACUGUGUUACUAACAGCUGGUGCCAUUCCCAUUGCGAUACGUUUGCAUGAUGGGCAAACUACUGAAAGUUAUGAACAAGCCUAUGGAUUGCUAAACAGACAUUUCCAAACUCUUUUGGAGGGAAUUUUGUAAGUAAAUUAUUAAAUAGUAAUUUAACUUUAUAUUUUUUAAUUUGGCUUCUAUGACAUUUUAACCUUUUAAAAUUAAAAACCACAAAGAUACCUACAUACAUGACAAUUUACGCUUACUGAAUUAGAUCAAAUUUAAAUGUAAUUAAGGGAAGGAAUCUCUCUUAACACAUGUAUGUACGCCUUUUUUAUGAAUAGCUGUACCACCCAUAAUACUCUAAAAGAAUAGUUAGAAACUAGGCAAAAAUUACUUGUAUUUAAAUAGAAUAUUUUUAAAUACACUAUGUGAUAAUGAUAAUAUUAUAAACAUAUAUUUAUUUUUAGCUAAUUAUUUUCACUAAAAAAACAACACAAAUGAAUCUUUUGUAAGUACAUUGUAUGUUGAUUUAUUCAUAUGGGGUUAUGGUUUAAUAUUUUGGUGUAUUAGUUUUUUUAAUUAAUUAUUAUAUUGGUGGUUAUGGUUUUAUGUUGUUUCUUCUAGGUAUUGGUUAAUAAUAGAUAAUAGAUAUAAUAGAGCCUAUAUGUUUUAUGACAGACGACUCCAAAUCUGAAAAGACAGCUCUUAAAAAUACAUUUCCAAAUUCUACUCAGCUACUGUGUUUUUUUCACGUGCUUCAAAAAGAAUGGCGAUGGCUUUGUGAAAACAAAAAUAAGAUUUCCAUGGAAAAGCGUCAAAUCUUAAUGCAUUCGUUUCGUAAGGUAUAAUAUAAGAGUAUUACACAAUGUAAAUAAAUUAUGUUAAUACAUUUAUUUUAUAAUGCUUACGCUAUAGUGCUCAUUUUUUAACUAUUUUUAUUUUUUUUUUUACUUACUUACUUCAUUUUAUUUAUUGUUAAUAAGAAAUUUACAUAUUUCUAUAAUUCUAUCAAUUGUUUACGUAUAUUUAAAUAUAUUAGGCAUAAAUGGCAAUAAAAAGCAUUAGGUAUAUUAAGAAACAUUAUAAAAAGUCCGAAAAAUAAAUGGAAUGCACAUUGAUAUAGCGUUGCUUUUUUUUAGAUUAUGUAUUCUGAAAGUAAUGAAGAUCUAAAUGAACACAUGUUAAAGCUGCAGAAAGAAGCGGAGGAUUGUCCAAACUUUUGGGCAAGAUUUGAAAUUUAUUUUUCUAGAGGACAAGAGUGGUUGUAUCUUCACAGGAAACAUUGGGUCAUAAGAGGGAACAAUAAAAACAAUUACGCAGAAGUAACCAUCAAAAUACUUAAGGACAUUAUUCUUCAUCGUACAAAAGGUUACAAUUGUGUAGCAUUAGUUGAUUUCAUUGCUUUUGUCUGGGAGGAGUAUUUUAAAUGCAAGUUAUUAGAUUUUGCCCAUGGAAGAAGAAACGAAAUAAAAAAUAAUUACUUAAAGCUAUGUUCAAAAGUGAAUUAUUUUAAACUGGAAGAUAUUGUAACUUUGGGAGAUGGAUUGUAUCAAAUUAGUAGUAGUUCUAAUAUCUUUUUAAAAUACAUUAUUGACGUGCCAAUUGGUGUAUGCAGUUGUCCUGCAGGCAUAAAUGGGUCAUUUUGUAAGCACCAAGCUUACCUACAUAAACAUUUAAAUAUUCCAUUUUUGAAUGAUCCCUGCUAUUAAUUUUCAAGAAAGAGCAUCACUUGGGCGGCUAGCUCUUGGCGAGAAAUGGCCCGAAUCCAAAUGGUUUUUGGCCCUAAGUGAGUUUUCAGAAAAUGCAGAUAAUAUACAAGAUUGUGGUUAUCAAGAAAACUAUCUCGAAACUAGAAUCGAUGCACCAUCUUCAUUAUUUGACGAGACAAUAAUGGAGAUUGAUGACACGUUGGAAGAUGACAACAAAAAGGAAGAUGUAAUUGAAGAAAUUAAAGAAGAAUGUAAAAAAUUUGAUAAAAUGCUUAAGGAAAUACCUUUAAAAGCAUUAGAAAGACUUGCAAACAAACUAAAAAGAAUACAAACUGCGCCGCAGCUAUAUUCUUUCAUAGACAGUAAAGUUUCUAGGGUCAAAAGCAACUCAAAAAUAAAAGUCCAGCCAACAACUGCUUUUCGAAGACGGCCUGGAGCCACUCGUGGAGGUUCAAGAAUCCCUUCAGGAAGACCACCUUGUGGCAAACGUAGUAGCCAAAAUGCUGUCAAAGGUAGUGGUAAAAGUAGUGGAAAACGAAAACAUAACAUAAGUUUAAAUAUAUCUUUAAAUCAACGAAACGCAAUUAUCCAUGGUCGCGCGCAUUAAAUACAUAAUAUGUACAAAAGUAAUAAAAAAUAUUGUUUAGAUUUUU